UGAGGAAUAUUGGUCAAUGGACGCAAGUCUGAACCAGCCAUGCCGCGUGGAGGAUGAAGGCCUUCUGGGUUGUAAACUUCUUUUAUUGGGGAAGAAAAGCACGGUUUCUACUGUGUCCGACGGUACCCAAGGAAUAAGCACCGGCUAACUCCGUGCCAGCAGCCGCGGUAAUACGGAGGGUGCAAGCGUUAUCCGGAUUCACUGGGUUUAAAGGGUGUGUAGGCGGGCUGUUAAGUCAGUGGUGAAAUCUCCGGGCUCAACCCGGAAACUGCCAUUGAUACUAAUGGUCUUGAAUUUUGUUGAGGUAGGCGGAAUAUGUCAUGUAGCGGUGAAAUGCUUAGAUAUGACAUAGAACACCGAUUGCGAAGGCAGCUUACUAAGCAAAUAUUGACGCUGAGGCACGAAAGCGUGGGGAUCAAACAG
rnacentral:rRNA from 1 species